GAUGAAGAACGCAGCGAAAUGCGAUAAGUAAUGUGAAUUGCAGAAUUCCGUGAAUCAUCGAAUCUUUGAACGCACAUUGCGCCCCCUGGUAUUCCGGGGGGCAUGCCUGUCCGAGCGUCAUUGCAACCUUCAAGCGCGGCUUGUGUGUUGGGUCUCGUCCCCCGUGGACGGGCCCGAAAGGCAGUGGCGGCGUCCCGACAUGGUGCCCGAGCGUAUGGGAAUCCUCUUCCGCUCGAAUCGGCCCAUGCGGCGCUGGUCGUAACCAAAUUUUUUACCGGUUGACCUCGGAUCAGGUAGGGAUACCCGCUGAACUUAAGCAUAUCAUAAGCGGAGGA
rnacentral:misc_RNA from 1 species